rnacentral:rRNA from 1 species
AUUGAACGCUGGCGGCAUGCCUUACACAUGCAAGUCGAACGGUAACGCGGGGCAACCUGGCGACGAGUGGCGAACGGGUGAGUAAUGUAUCGGAACGUACCAUUGAGUGGGGGAUAACGUAGCGAAAGUUACGCUAAUACCGCAUAUACCCUGAGGGGGAAAGCAGGGGAUCUUAGGACCUUGUGCUCUUUGAGCGGCCGAUAUCAGAUUAGCUAGUUGGUGAGGUAAAGGCUCACCAAGGCGACGAUCUGUAGCGGGUCUGAGAGGAUGAUCCGCCACACUGGGACUGAGACACGGCCCAGACUCCUACGGGAGGCAGCAGUGGGGAAUUUUGGACAAUGGGCGCAAGCCUGAUCCAGCCAUGCCGCGUGAGUGAAGAAGGCCUUCGGGUUGUAAAGCUCUUUCAGCCGGGAAGAAAUCGGUUGGGUUAAUACCCCAAUCGGAUGACGGUACCGGAAUAAGAAGCACCGGCUAACUACGUGCCAGCCGCCGCGGUAAUAC